UGCCAGCUUGGUUAUUAAUUAGAUUUAGGCAAUGUUAUGAGUUACUUAUUCAUUUGUUAUUCAUUGCUUAAUGUGGGAAUGCAAGUCAAUACAUGUUCCUGUCUUCUACUGUUUGCGCAUACCUAUUCUAAUUUCAUCAUGAAAUGCACUUGAUUAUUAUGGCUUGCUGAAUGAGAAUUGGUGUAUGUUGAACUUUUUGCAUCAUGAUUUGUCAUGGAUUCUGAUGUAGCAGUAUUCAUUUGUGUGUCUUGGC
rnacentral:lncRNA from 1 species